GAUCGGGGUGGGGCUACACCUGGGGCGGGGGUACACGUGUAGCCACGCCCACAAUGCUUCCCAUUGGUUAGGGGCAAAGUGAUGACGUCGAUCGAGGUGGGGCCGCGCCCGUAAACUCAUGACGUCGCUUUCUAACUUGUUUUCAUUUCCGCUGUUCUUCGCUGCAUGGUGUUGUGAACUGGAGUGCAAGAGUUCCAGGUGCCCUCGUUGACUGUGCUAGUUGCACUGUACUGAAACACACAAGGACUGCCCACCUGGGUGUGUAUGUGAUGGCAGAAGGGGAGUCCUGCAUGCAUUUUCUUCCGUGAAGGAGGUUGAAGGCUAGUUUUUUCAAUGAUGGAGGGGAAUUUCAGGCUGAGUAGAUUGUGUGAGAGUGUACGUGUGUGAGUGUACGCGUGUGUGUUUGUGUGUGUGUGUGUGUGUGUCUAUGUGUGCAUGUAUUUGUGUGUAGGUGAUUAUCUGAACAUCUCUUUACACAAUUUUUCAAACUUGUUUUGAAAUAAAAGUUAUCACUGGUA